rnacentral:rRNA from 1 species
UACGUAGGGUGCGAGCGUUAUUCGGAAUUACUGGGCGUAAAGUGUGCGCAGGCGGCUUCGCAAGUCGAGUGUGAAAUCCCCGGGCUUAACCUGGGAAUUGCGCUCGAAACUACGGAGCUGGAGUAUGGCAGAGGGAGGUGGAAUUCCACGUGUAGCGGUGAAAUGCGUAGAGAUGUGGAGGAACACCAAUGGCGAAGGCAGCCUCCUGGGCCAAUACUGACACUCAUGCACGAAAGCGUGGGGAGCAAACAGG